GACGAACGCUGGCGGCGUGCUUAACACAUGCAAGUCGAACGGAAAGGCCCUGCUUUUGUGGGGUGCUCGAGUGGCGAACGGGUGAGUAACACGUGAGUAACCUGCCCUUGACUUUGGGAUAACUUCAGGAAACUGGGGCUAAUACCGGAUAGGAGCUCCUGCUGCAUGGUGGGGGUUGGAAAGUUUCGGCGGUUGGGGAUGGACUCGCGGCUUAUCAGCUUGUUGGUGGGGUAGUGGCUUACCAAGUCUUUGACGGGUAGCCGGCCUGAGAGGGUGACCGGCCACAUUGGGACUGCGAUACGGCCCAGACGCCUACGGGAGGCAGAAGUGGGGAAUAUUGCACAAUGGGCGGAAGCCUGAUGCAGCAACGCCGCGUGCGGGAUGACGGCCUUCGGGUUGUGAACCGCUUUCGCCUGUGACGAAGCGGGAGUGACGGUAAUGGGUAAAGAAGCACCGGCUAACUACGUG
rnacentral:rRNA from 1 species